UAAGAAUAGAAUUUGAAAUGACCACAAAACAACAGGUGAAUAGUUAUGAGCCCUAAUUGAGAUGUUUAAUGUUAUUGCAGUCAUGGGGGGAGAGGAUCUGCAUGCCAGACUGACAACCACCAGAGGACAUACGGUCCAAAGCAACAUUCUCCUUGAAAAGAACAAACUUGAGGAAGUGAAACGGCUACAAAAGAGAAUUUCUGAAUUGCCGUGUUUCCACUCAGCAAGGAGAUAUUGCCAAGUGGAAGGCUAGAGCAGUUAAGCUGAAGGAGAGGAGGGACGUGGUAGAAACGCCUCCAUCUGCAUGUACUCAUUCAAAACGACGCCUUCCUUCUGAGGACCUCAACUCUCCCAUGAAGUUCCUUCACUCUCCCAAGAAGUUCAUAGACUAUCCCAAAAAGUUUAUUUAUUCUCCCAAGAAGUUCCUCGACUCGCCCAAGAGAAAGUUCUUUGAUGUCCGUCCAGGCUCUGAAUGUCGAUUAACUGUCCCAAACAAUUUUUUUGAUAACUCCAACCUUGAAAACGUUCAAGAUGCCACUGUGGAUUAAAAGGAGGACUGGUGGCCUGUCACCAAAGCAAGCUGAUUUAUGCAAACAGCAGUAAAUUAUUUACCUAAAUUGCACUAAUCAUUCAUUGUUUAUUUAUUUUUCAAUAUUUAAAGAGUUUGUUUUCAUAUUGUAUUUGUCGCCAGUUAAUUUUAAUGUUGUGAUCAAUUUGAUUGCCUUAUAUUUUAAAAUAAAGCCAUUUUAAUUUUUAUAAGA